GAUGAACGCUGGCGGCGUGCUUAACACAUGCAAGUCGAACGAAACACCUUAUUUGAUUUUCUUCGGAACUGAAGAUUUGGUGAUUGAGUGGCGGACGGGUGAGUAACGCGUGGGUAACCUGCCCUGUACAGGGGGAUAACAGUCAGAAAUGACUGCUAAUACCGCAUAAGACCACAGCACCGCAUGGUGCAGGGGUAAAAACUCCGGUGGUACAGGAUGGACCCGCGUCUGAUUAGCUGGUUGGUGAGGUAACGGCUCACCAAGGCGACGAUCAGUAGCCGGGUUGAGAGAGUGAACGGCCACAUUGGGACUGAGACACGGCCCAAACUCCUACGGGAGGCAGCAGUGGGGAAUAUUGCACAAUGGGGGAAACCCUGAUGCAGCGACGCCGCGUGAGUGAAGAAGUAUUUCGGUAUGUAAAGCUCUAUAAGCAGGGAAGAAAAUGACGGUACCUGACUAAGAAGCCCCGGCUAACUACGUG
rnacentral:rRNA from 1 species